rnacentral:rRNA from 1 species
GGUGAACGCUAGCGAUAGGCUUAACACAUGCAAGUCGAGGGGUAGCAGGGGUUUAGUUUACUAAAUCUGCUGACGACCGGCGCACGGGUGAGUAACGCGUAUGCAACUUGCCCUAUGCUCAGGGAUAGCCCGUUGAAAGACGGAUUAAUACCUGAUAUUAUUAAUUAACCGCCUGGUUUUUUAAUGAAAGAUUUAUCGGCAUAGGAUGGGCAUGCGUUCCAUUAGCUUGUUGGUGG